CCCGUGCUCGUGAAGUCCCCAGGAUCACGAUGGUGGUCUUAAAUGGAACGUUGGUACAAGAUUGUGGUGGUUCUUGGUGGUUGCCCGUGCGUUCGAGAAGAAGAGAGAGAGUGAGAGUUUCUGAGGAAGAGCUGAGGAAGAGAGAGAGAGUGAAAAUCUGAAAUGGAAGAAGAAGAGAGAAGAAAGGUUACGGGUUUUAGGGAGGGAAUUCAGGGUAGGAGGCCCUACCUAAGUCCAAGCACAAAUUAACACAUACAAAUAUAAAUCUAACCCUAGUUUAGGAUCUUAAAGUAAAACAAAUGUCAUACAUUUACACACCUUAAUCCCGUUUAAGGUCACAUUGGUCAUCUCACGUCCUCGGAAUUAAUAAUUCCGGGACGGGCUGUGACAAUCUCCCCUCCUUAUAGAAUUUCGUCCCCGAAAUUCCAAUCACCAACCAGAACAUCAAAACUCAUAAAAUAGUCUCGGAUACAUAACUCUCAUCCGUUCUUCUGUCUCCCAUGUAAUUUUCUACUGAAUGAUUUCCUUCACAAAGCUUUUACUACUUACUCUGUCUUAAUUCUUAGGACCUUCUUUUUCUAAUUCUCGUCAUUUCUGUUCGCGGUGAAUUUUCCAAAAAUAUCAAACCAUUUACCUUACACACUCGAUUAGUGGCAUAUCCAUCUGUUGAUCUCUUUUGCCAUUCCUGGUUACUUCAGGUUAACUUAAUCACCUGAAUACUUUGAGGACUCAUCCAUAGUCUCAGGGUCUACUAAAACUCUUUCUUGAUCGAAUCUUUCUCUACCCAGAAACAUUCCAUUCACAAGUCAUCAAAAACCGACUCACGUGACACAUUUCAUGGUCCUUAUGGCGUUACUUCGGAAACUGCACAACCAACAUACUUAAGAAACUUAGCAGUUCCGUAAUCCAAUUCUCUUUUCCAUAAAACAAAUAAGUAGUGUUGCACUGUCUGGGAAAGGUUGUUACUCAACACUGGAGUAAAUGUACUAACUUGUUACUUAACAAGUAUAACUUCUUCUCGAUCUUCCAUUCUUAACUUUACUUUAGUUGGUUUCCAAUCCACAAGAAGAUAAUCUUGGCAAACGUGCCAGACAUUAAUCUUACUGUAGUCUUCUCGCCAAGUGCUUGAGCUAGAACAAACUUUACGAUCACCCUGAUCGUACAAUCAUGUUCAUUAAGCAAUACAAUUCACUUUCGCUGCCUCAUAUCAAAAUCCUUCCAAGUAAUGGAUAUUGAAGACUUUUUGGAUUCGUAAAAAUCUUGCAUUCUUACCAAAUAUAAUGCCUUCAUAACUUCACAGCAAGAAUGGUAAUCAUGACUUCCAAGUCACCCGUAGGGUAAUUCAUCUCAUGAGGUUCCAUUUAUCGUGAAACGUAUGCAAUCACCCUAACAUUUGCAUCAACAUGCAUCCAAUACCAUUCAAGAAACAUCACUAAAAAUUUAUGAUUACCAUUAUUCUCUGGGAUUACUAAAAUACGUGCAUGAGUGAGGAAAUACUUCAGUUUGUUGAAUCCUUUGCUCACAAUUUCCUUCCCACUCAUACAUAACCUCCUUUCUCAACAGUCUCAUCAAUGACAAAACAAUGACUAAAAAUUCUUUCACAACCAUCCAAAAUAGCCUGAUAAGUUAAGAAUUUCCGAAUCUCAAUUAUGGCUUGUGGUUGUUCCAAAUUCUCAAUUCUGCUGCCUUUUAAGAAUUCAUUUGAAUACCUUAAGCAGAUAUAACCAAUCUCAGAAUGCCACUUGAUUCAUCCAACAUUCGCAUUUGCUAAACUUAGCAUACAACCAACGUUCUCUUAAUCUUUGCUUCACCGACUUAAUACGUUUACAUGCUCUGCUCUAGGCUUAGAGUAUACCAGAAUAUCUUCAAUGAAAAUGAUAUCUAUUUAUCAAGGCAUUAUUGGAAUACUUCAUCCAAUAACUCAUAAAAUAGCAUGAGUAUCCAUAUAGCAUCACCAAACUUCAUAAAGACUAUAACGAGUCCAGAAAACCAUCUUAUGAUCAAUGUCACUUAUAAUAUUCAAUUGGUAGUAACCAGAUCUCAAUUCAAUCUUUGAAUCUUCGCAAUUACUUCUGAGCUGGUUAAAUAAACAUCAGUACAUCACCAUGGAUAACGGUUCUCAAUCGUUACCCGACUCCAUUGUCUAUAAUCAAUGAACAGUCUCAAGAUCCAUUUUUCUUCCUCACCAACAAACUGGGCUCCUCAAAAGUGUUGUACUAGGUUGAAUAAAACUUUUAUCAACCAAUUCUCUCAACUGAAUUUCCAAUUCCCUUAACUCAUCCUGAACCAAUCUCCAAUAUAAAUUUAUACCUGGCAACAAAUCAAUAAUGAACCUCAUAUCUCUGCCUGAAGGCAAUCCAGGUAUACUUUCAAGGAAGACAUCAAGAAAAGUCUAACUCUUUCGACAUUAUUCACACUACUCCAAACAACAUCAUUUAGCACCACAUGAGCUAAGUAUUUUUUUACAGCCUUUCGAAAACAAUCUCUUUGCUCUCACAGCAUAAAUAAUGGCUGAACUCAAUCCACUUUGCAUACUUACAAAAGUAAUCUCUGGUCAUCCAGAUCGAUGGAAAGUACUGGUUUCCCGUAACAUUCCGUCUUGUCACAAUUAUAACCAACCAAUCUAAUGGAACAGAAUUAACUGAUACAAUAUAUAUUCUAUUAUUAUUAAGCAUUCCAAAUAAGUACAAUACUAACAUAAAAUAAUCUACCGGUUUGCUUGCUUAACGAAUCCACGAAUGAGUUAUUAAUAUUACGGUCUGCAGCCCGCAAUACUGAUAAAUCAUCGUUGUCUCGAUAAGUAGGCAACCACUCUCAAAGAUAUAACAUUACUAUUUUGUCACUCAAUGCAAAAUACAUACACUCAUCUCAACUACAUUUAUUUACUACUCUCAAGGUAAUAACAUACAUAAUAAGAAAUAUAUCAGCCGAAGUCAACUAGAAUGAUCAAUACGGUUGAUUCAACUCUUAUCUCAAUAAUACGUCGGCCGGAUCCACUCCGCGUGGUCGGUACGGCCGAGCCUAUAACUCACAAAUUUCGCAUGUGUCAAUCGAAUCCACUUCUCGUGGCCUGUACGGCUGAACAUAUAACUCAUCAAAUCUCUCUGUACUCACAGUCAAUCCGACCAAACUACUAAGUUUAUAACUCUUCUGAAUCGACACUGUGAUAUCAUGGAAAAUUAUUGAGUACAACUGAUUCUAGGGACGAUUCACAAUUCUGUGUCCCCUCUGUUCACAUAAACACAUUCAUUAAUUUCACACUUCCCAAAGUGUUAAUUUUUGUACCUGCAGCACAAGGUACAUUUCCUUUACUCGAGACACCUUGUCUCAAAUAUCUGGGAUUACCAGUAUAUCCAUCACUUUUAUUCUGACCAGCGACAUUAAAACCUCAGCUAGAAGAAUUAACUCUAGCUUCACUUCUUUCAAAGCUCUAAAUCUUUCUAUAUUCUUGAUAUGACGAAUCAUUAACUUUAUCGUCUUCUUUUAAUUCCCAUUCAUUUCUUAUUCUUCUUUAUUCUCGUUGCUCAUGUUCUCAGAGUCCUCAAGAUUCAACAACAUCUCGUAUAUUCCUGGUAAGAAGUACAAUGGAUAGUGGUCACCCAAAAUACCACUUCCCUUUUUGCCACCCAACUUAAAACAACAUAACACCUCCACCAAAUUAACAACAAUAUCUGGAUGAAACGAGGCAAGUCUGAAAACUUUCUAUAAUAUCCCUCGAUCAUCACCUUCCUUGUCUCAUAUUUGUAAACUCUUGUUUACUACCAUCGAUAAAUGCCGGAGGGAUAAACUUUUCCUUUAAACAAGUCCUUAAACAAUUCUCAAUCGACUGAUUCCUCUGGUGACAACAAUUCAUACUCCUGUUUCCACCAGGAUACAAAUUCAUAACCAAAACCAGGUAGUCGUCUCGACCCCUUGUCAGAAGGAAAUUUCCUUUGACUUGCAUAAUCUGAAACAUCUUUUCCAAAUGGUUAAACCGUUACUUCGCUCCCUCAAGUUCAUCAUUUCAUAAGGUGAUUCAAAUUCGACUCAUAUCCCGUCUUAAAAUGUCCCUUUUUAUAAUAGACUGAAUCACCAUAAUAAUAGUUUCUCCCAAAACCGCUAUAUUAGGGAGACUAAAUUCCUCUAACUACGUGGCUUGCUACGAGGCGGUGUAGUUCUGACAGAAUUCACUAGAACUUCUCAAGAUGUCCAAGAUUGCAACCAUGCUCUGAUACCAACUGACACACCCCGUCCCGAAGGAGGGCAUGCUGGCCGUCACGUGAGAGUGACGUAACCAUUUGCACAGUACGGAAGCUUUAAGAUACAAUUUAAAUUGAUACACCCGAAGGUGAGUCCUAAUUUUGUCCAAUCUGUCAGAACACCGUCGAAUUCCUCGUAGUCACCACACCUUUGUGAUUCCUGAACCUGGAGGGGCGCAAAACCAAAAUUGAGUGGGUCAGUAAAACAAUUCUUUUCCAAAUCCAAACAUUUAUCAAAACGUUGUAACCCCUCUCCGUAAAACCUGUAUACUUUCCCAGAAAUGUAAAAUAUAAAUAUACAUAUAUAUUUCUCAAUACUUCAAUUCAUUAACUCAACAUUUUCAUAUAAUUAUGCCAUGCCACAUCAUCUCAACAUUUCUCAUAUUUAAUUAUGCCAUGCCACAUCAUCUCAACAGUAAUAAGGUAUGAAUGCAUCAACAUAAUCAUAUCAGGUGCAAGAAAGUAAUCAACCGUAGGCCCUCUAAUAGCCCUGUACGGUUGAACCUAGAGCUCAAAAUCUAUCAUUAUCACUCUACCGGAGUCACCUCUGUGACCCGUCCGGCCUUCUGCACACAAGUUACGCUCUAGUGCUUCUCAUAAAUCAUCUGUGCACAUAAUCUAAGGUCACCCACCAGUCGGAAUCUCACUAACACUCUCGCGACUGGUCUGUCGUACCCACUCCGCGUGGACUGUACGACUAGCAUCUACUUGGAUCCAAGGCGAGCGUGCGAUGCGGUGAAUACUAUAAGCACUAAACCAUGGUGCAGGAUUUGAGCUCAAUAUAUAUCAUCAUCAUCAUAACAGUAAUUAAAUACUCAUCUGUGCGUCCACCGCACCAUUUCAUACAUAUGCAUCAUAAAUCAAUUCUUACCUGUGCGUCCACCGCACCAAUUCAUACAUAUGCAUCAUAACUCAAUUCUUACCUGUGCGUCCACCGCACCAAUUCAUACAUAUGCAUCAUAAAUCAAUUCUUACAUGUGCGUCCACCGCACCAAUUCAUACAUAUGCAUCAUAUAUUAAUUCAUGCAUGGCAUUUUCAACUCACAUUUCUAUAUACUUUUCAUAUCAAUUCUAUGCAUGGUAUUUCACUUCCCGUUUUUCCACAUAACUCAUAUGCAUUUCAUUUUAAACAUAUUUUCAUUUCAAUUCAAUUUCUGGGAAACGUCAAGUAUAUAUAUAUACGGAAAACAAAAACUGCCCACUCACCUGGAGUUCGUCCAACAACUCCCUAGCACCACACAUCAAGGCGUCAUGACGAUCGCCGCCUAGAAUAGUAAUCAAAUCCAGGCUCAGAAUUCAUAUCGAUAGAAUACAUAACUUAUAUAAAAUACGUCACUACGUUGAUCGAUCCGGAAGAUCUGCCACUCAGAUUUUAAAUCCAUAACUUCCAGAGGUCCACAUUAUACCUCUAGGACAACAUCCUAAAAUUUCAUUACCAUCCAACGGUCGGAUCUCCGUCAAUUUCCAAAACUAAGUGACGGUUAACAUUUUAUAUUAUGGACUUACAAUUCCAAUUCCGGAAGAUCCGUAACUCGGAUUCCCAAUCCGUAAGUUCCAAUAAUCCUCAAAUAUUACGUAUUACAACGUAUCAAAGUUUGGUGACGAUCCAACGGUCGGAUCAUCAAUUCACAUUUUCACCUAAAUGUGAAAACUAUAAAACGUUAUUUGAACACCUAACCAACAAUCUUCAAUAACUUUCUCAUACGGUGUUCAAUUUAGGUAUAUGAAUAUACCACAGUGAUCUACUCGACGUCACGGACGUCGACAUAUUUUUAAAAUAAUUUUAUUUUUAUUUUUUAUUUUUACUGUAGCACCUUCUUCUUCCUUGGGUCGCCGGACUGGUUUUUCCGGCGGCCGUUUUCCGGGCAGUUUUUCAAAUUGCCAUAACUUUGUCAUUUCUCAACGAAAUCAAGUGAUUCAAAAACGAAAGUUGUAGCCCUUGAAGAGACAAAGAGAAUGGUACCUUGCAAAACACCUAGUUCUCCGUGGUUUGGCCGGAAACUGCCUCGAAAGCCUCGGAGGUCGCCGGAAACUGGGUAUUUUUCAAAUGAGUAUAACUUCUUCAAUACUCAACGAAAUUGAGUGAAACAAAAAGGAAAGUUGUAGUACUUGACGAGACGAAGAGAUUGAUACCUACCUCGACUUCUAACUCUCCGGGGAUUCGCCGGAAAACGCCUCGAAAGCUCCGGCCAAACUUUGAACUUGUCGAUCUCCGUGUUCUUACGUCCAAAAACUUCCAACGAAGCACUCCGAGCUUCCUUGGGACCUCACUAAGCUUGCUAUGACCUUAUUUUGGCCUAAAACACAACCACUUCAAAGAUCAUGAACAGUACACAUUCACGGGGUCUUUAGAACUAGGGUUUUUCGAAAUGAAACUUACCUGAAAUUGGUAUCCCCGUGCUCGUGAAGUCCCCAGGAUCACGAUGGUGGUCUUAAAUGGAACGUUGGUACAAGAUUGUGGUGGUUCUUGGUGGUUGCCCGUGCGUUCGAGAAGAAGAGAGAGAGUGAGAGUUUCUGAGGAAGAGCUGAGGAAGAGAGAGAGAGUGAAAAUCUGAAAUGGAAGAAGAAGAGAGAAGAAAGGUUACGGGUUUUAGGGAGGGAAUUCAGGGUAGGAGGCCCUACCUAAGUCCAAGCACAAAUUAACACAUACAAAUAUAAAUCUAACCCUAGUUUAGGAUCUUAAAGUAAAACAAAUGUCAUACAUUUACACACCUUAAUCCCGUUUAAGGUCACAUUGGUCAUCUCACGUCCUCGGAAUUAAUAAUUCCGGGACGGGCUGUGACAUAAAUUCACAUAAUAAAAUCGGUCUCUAUAGAAUUUACAUUAAGAAUAGAGAUAAUAAUAUUUAAUAAACAAUUGAUUGAAUCACAUUAUUACUAGCCCAUUGUGAGGCUAAGUCCACACCACUCCCCUUUAAUGUAGAUAAUAUCGUUUGUUUAAUAAAAAACAAUCAUUUGACAAUUAAUUUAAUCACAUUAUUAUCCGUGUACGAAAGACAUUUUUUAUAAUCAACAUUACACGCCUCUUAAGAUGUUUUGAACAUGUUUAAAAUUUGAGAAAAUAAUAUUUAAUAAACAACUGAUUAAAUCACAUUAUUGCUAGCCCAUUGUGAGGUUAAGUCCACCUCAUCCCCCUUAGUGUAGACAAUACCAUUUGUUAAAAAAAAAAAUUCAUUUGACAACUUUUUUAAUCACAUUAUUAUCUGCAUACGAAAUACCUUUUUUAUAACCUGCAUUACACCCCUCUUAAGAUGUUUUGAACGUGUUUAAAAAUAGAUAAAUUGAAUCACAUUAUUGCUAGCCCAUUGUAAGGCACUAAUUAAAAAAAAAACUAAUGAAAAUGGCUUAAAAGCUUUGAGCUUCAACGAUAAAGACAAAAUAAAGGAUAAAGUGAAUAGUACCAUGAUUGACUUUUUAGUGUAAAAAUGUGGUUUUUCGUUAAAGUGAACAAGAUCAGGAGCUUUUCGUUAAAGUUCACUUAAAAAAAUAAUGUACCAAAAAAUUAAUUAUUAAAAAAGCACUAUUAAAAUAAUGAAAAUGCCCCAGCCUUAUUUGAUGCAUUAUUUUGGGAUGCCUUUGAAGUUUUUGUCUUGGGGGGCAUUUUUGUCCAAAUAUUUUUGUUGAAUCUUGGUGACACCAAAAUCACUAUUCACCUUUUGUGUUGGCUUUAUAUAUAGAAGAUAUGAUUUUUUUGAAGCAAGGAUGACAUUAUAUUAUUGAAAACCCAUUCAGAUACAAUGGAUGUAAAAUGGAAAUCAAACAAAGGGGAAGAAUGAAAGGAUUAUGCAAAUCAAAUUAGCAAAAUUACAAAUAAAAUUUGAUCUAUGAUAUUUUAAAUAUUCUAUAUUUUAAAAAUUUUAACUGUUAAAUCUUAGUUAUUGUAUCUUUGACCAACCAGUAAGUUACAAAUGUUUGAAGAUUUUCUUUUCAAAAUAACUACCACUCCCACAUGCCAAGUGUGGAGCCAAAAACGAUCAUAAAGUGACACGUGGACUUUGGGACAAAAGAAGACAAAAAUACCCUUGAGGUAUAACGGGAUUCCUACGCGCAAGUAGUGGGUAAUCAUCCUCAACCAAUUCAAAAAUGCUCCAAAAGAGGUAACCAAUUCCAAACUAUCUCAUUUUAGGUAAUUAUUUCCAAAACUUAAUUUCUCUAAUAUAUUAUUUAGUUAAUUAAUUAUCUAAAUAAUAUAUUCUUCCCAUAUCUCCUAAAAUCAUCCUUUAAAAUCAUAAAUAAUUGAUUAAUUAGGGGAUCAACUCAAUUAAUCUCCUAAUUGUCAAUAAAGUGGCCCAAAUUAGUAGACAAAACCGGCCACCUCCCUUUGCUCCAUACCUUUUCUGAUUUUCUCCACCUUAUUACCCAAAUAAAGCUAGUCAUUCAAUUUGGUAACUUACCAUUUAUUUUUCUCAUAUUUAAUUAAGCCAAUAAAUUGGCUAAUUACAUCACAAACUCACCAAAAAACAUACAAAGUGGCCGGCCACUUUCUUGGAAAAGUGGACCAACCUAGUCCUAUAAAUAGUCACCCAUUUUUACCAAACACUCAUUCCAAUCCUCUUGCAAAAAUUCCAAACACUCUAAACACUAUUUCUCUCUAAAAUUCUAACCUUGGCAUCGGAGGUUCUUCGGCCAAAGCCCCCCCCCCCAUUCAUCGUGGGCGCGUGAGGCUUUUGGCCUUAACCUAAGGUGCUAGUUGUUUUGUAGGUGCAAAAUCGUCCAAGAUCGAAGAGGAGAAAAUUUAUAUCCACAAAUUGGUGCUUUCAUUGAGAGUUGUUAUCCAUACUCGUAAAAGACUCUCGCGCAAAAAGGUUUUUUCUUUGUUUUCUAGUCCAUUUGAAUAUUUUUCAUACGUUCUUAUUUAUAGAAUUUUUUACUUGCAAAGGUUCUUUGAUAAAACGUAUAAGAAAAAUAUAAUGGCUAGAAAUUUAGAAAAUUCCACAAGUGAAAAUCCUAAUAUUCAAGAAAUGGGAUUGCGGAGAUCCGUGAGGCAAAAUGCGACAAUAAGGGGAGCGACAUCAUCACCACGAGUUUCCACCAUGGGAACCACCGUGGUGGCUACCUCG
rnacentral:lncRNA from 1 species